CGAGUCGGCCGGGCGGCCGCGUCGGCGGGCAGGUCCCGCCGCCGAGGAACGUCCGGACUCCACAGGGCAGGGUGGUUGCUAACGGCAACCCGGGGCGACCCGCGGGACAGUGCCACAGAAAACAGACCGCCGGCCGGUUAUCGGCCGGUAAGGGUGAAACGGCGGGGUAAGAGCCCACCAGCACCCCGGGUGACCGGGGUGGCUCGGUAAACCCCACCCGGAGCAAGGCCAAGAAGGGCCACCGCCAGCCGGUGGUGGCCCGCGCAGGCGACCGAGGACGGCCCGUCCGAGCCUGCGGGUAGGCCGCUGGAGCCUGCCGGCGACGGCAGGCCGAGAUGGAUGGCCGCCGGCCGCCAGCCUGCCUCGGCAGGUGGGCGGUGCACAGAAUCCGGCGUACAGGCCGACUCGUCCG
rnacentral:RNase_P_RNA from 1 species